rnacentral:rRNA from 1 species
AUUGAACGCUGGCGGCAGGCCUAACACAUGCAAGUCGAGCGGAUGAGGAAAGCUUGCUUUUCGAUUCAGCGGCGGACGGGUGAGUAAUGCCUAGGAAUCUGCCUGUUAGUGGGGGAUAACUCGGGGAAACUCGGGCUAAUACCGCAUACGUCCUACGGGAGAAAGUGGGGGAUCUUCGGACCUCACGCUAACAGAUGAGCCUAGGUCGGAUUAGCUAGUAGGUGAGGUAAUGGCUCACCUAGGCGACGAUCCGUAACUGGUCGGAGAGGAUGAUCAGUCACCCUGGAACUGAGACACGAUCCAGACUCCUACGGGAAGCAGCAGUGGGGAGGAUUGGACAAGGGGCGAAAGCCUGAUCCAGCCAUGCCGCGUGUGUGAAGAAGGUCAUCGGAUUGUAAAGCACUUUAAGUUGGGAGGAAGGGUAUUCACCUAAUACGUGGGUACUUUGACGUUACCAACAGAAUAAGCACCGGCUAACUCUUUGCCAGCAGCCGCGGUAACAC